rnacentral:rRNA from 1 species
GAUGAACGCUGGCGGCGUGCCUAAUACAUGCAAGUCGAGCGAACAGACGAGGAGCUUGCUCCUCUGACGUUAGCGGCGGACGGGUGAGUAACACGUGGAUAACCUACCUAUAAGACUGGGAUAACUUCGGGAAACCGGAGCUAAUACCGGAUAAUAUAUUGAACCGCAUGGUUCAAUAGUGAAAGACGGUUUUGCUGUCACUUCUAGAUGGAUCCGCGCCGCAUUAGCUAGUUGGUAAGGUAACGGCUUACCAAGGCAACGAUGCGUAGCCGACCUGAGAGGGUGAUCGGCCACACUGGAACUGAGACACGGUCCAGACUCCUACGGGAGGCAGCAGUAGGGAAUCUUCCGCAAUGGGCGAAAGCCUGACGGAGCAACGCCGCGUGAGUGAUGAAGGUCUUCGGAUCGUAAAACUCUGUUAUUAGGGAAGAACAAAUGUGUAAGUAACUAUGCACGUCUUGACGGUACCUAAUCAGAAAGCCACGGCUAACUACGUG